UGCAGUUGUUGUGAGACAACACUCAACAGCACAAUUAUGCAACCCUGAUUUACACCACUAACCCAACAUGACAUGCACGAUCGAUUGUUCUGUAAAUAAAUGUUAAAAUACACUCACCUUGUCGUAAUCAUUAGCAGCAUUGUUGUAAUUGAUAUUGCUUCAACUGCUCUUCGGUACAUUCUCUAGGCAUUGCCUGUGACGAAAAUGUGAGAAGUUUAGCGCUCAUGAUUGAGUUCUUGCUGUAAAGACAGGGGUAAUGUAAAGCUAAUGUAAAGCUCUUCAGGAGAUUUUUAAUGCUAAUGAUGCUAAACCAGGCAACGAGACCUCCUUUACCGUUGGGAUUUACGNNNNNNNNNNNNNNNNNNNNGGGGGGAGAAGGAGGAGGAUGCCGCCUGCCUACAGCAUGCAAAUAGCAAAAAGCGGGAAGUACAAUGGGGAACAACAUAUUGUCGGAUUGUAUACAUCACGUAUGUGUAGGAUAAACCCUGAGAAGGAGGGAUAUAUGUCAGAUAAUGACCCGAAGACACGCAGUGUCCGAGGGCAUUAUAUCUGACAUAAAUCACGACUUUCGAGGUGUUUAUCAUAUUUAAUUCAUCAUUGAGGAGGUUUUCCAACAAAGUUUUGUCUGUUUCGUCUGCUUUGAACGACGAUUUUCUGAGUUUUCCUUCAUCUUUUCAGCAGGGCAUUUUUUAAG
rnacentral:lncRNA from 1 species